UACGAAGGGGGCUAGCGUUGCUCGGAAUUACUGGGCGUAAAGGGCGCGUAGGCGGCCCGCUAAGUCGAACGUGAAAUCCCCAGGCUCAACCUGGGAACUGCGUCCGAUACUGGCAGGCUUGAAUCCGGGAGAGGGAUGUGGAAUUCCAGGUGUAGCGGUGAAAUGCGUAGAUAUCUGGAGGAACACCGGUGGCGAAGGCGGCAUCCUGGACCGGUAUUGACGCUGAGGCGCGAAAGCUAGGGGAGCAAACGGG
rnacentral:rRNA from 1 species